GACGAACGCUGGCGGCGUGCCUAAUACAUGCGAGUAGAACGCUGAAGGAGGAGCUUGCUUCUCUGGAUGAGUUGCGAACGGGUGAGUAACGCGUAGGUAACCUGCCUGGUAGCGGGGGAUAACUAUUGGAAACGAUAGCUAAUACCGCAUAAUAGCAGUUGUUGCAUGACAACUGUUUGAAAGGUGCAAUUGCACCACUACCAGAUGGACCUGCGUUGUAUUAGCUAGUUGGUGGGGUAACGGCUCACCAAGGCGACGAUACAUAGCCGACCUGAGAGGGGGAUCGGCCACACUGGGACUGAGACACGGCCCAGACUCCUACGGGAGGCAGCAGUAGGGAAUCUUCGGCAAUGGACGGAAGUCUGACCGAGCAACGCCGCGUGAGUGAAGAAGGUUUUCGGAUCGUAAAGCUCUGUUGUAAGAGAAGAACGAGUGUGAGAGUGGAAAGUUCACACUGUGACGGUAUCUUACCGGAAAGGGACGGCUAACUACGUG
rnacentral:rRNA from 1 species